rnacentral:rRNA from 1 species
UGGGGAAUAUUGCACAAUGGACGGAAGUCUGAUGCAGCAACGCCGCGUGCGGGAUGACGGCCUUCGGGUUGUAAACCGCUUUUUCUCAUGACGAAGUUUUUUGACGGUAGUGGUAGAAGAAGCACCGGCUAACUACGUGCCAGCAGCCGCGGUGAUACGUAGGGUGCGAGCGUUGUCCGGAAUUAUUGGGCGUAAAGAGCUUGUAGGCGGUUUGUCGCGUCGAUAGUGUAAACACGCAGCUUAACUGUGUGCCUGCUGUCGAUACGGGCUGACUAGAGGAGGGUAGGGGAGAAUGGAAUUCCCGGUGGAGCGGUGGAAUGCGCAGAUAUCGGGAGGAACACCAGUGGCGAAGGCGGUUCUCUGGACCUUUCCUGACGCUGAGAAGCGAAAGCGUGGGUAGCAAACAGG